rnacentral:rRNA from 1 species
AUUGAACGCUGGCGGCAUGCCUUACACAUGCAAGUCGAACGGCAGCACGGGAGCAAUCCUGGUGGCGAGUGGCGAACGGGUGAGUAAUAUAUCGGAACGUGCCCAGUCGUGGGGGAUAACGUAGCGAAAGCUACGCUAAUACCGCAUACGAUCUAUGGAUGAAAGCGGGGGAUCGCAAGACCUCGCGCGAUUGGAGCGGCCGAUAUCAGAUUAGGUAGUUGGUGAGGUAAAGGCUCACCAAGCCGACGAUCUGUAGCUGGUCUGAGAGGACGACCAGCCACACUGGGACUGAGACACGGCCCAGACUCCUACGGGAGGCAGCAGUGGGGAAUUUUGGUCAAUGGGCGCAAGCCUGAUCCAGCAAUGCCGCGUGCAGGAUGAAGGCCUUCGGGUUGUAAACUGCUUUUGUACGGAGCGAAAAGGCUUCCACUAAUACUGGGGGCUCAUGACGGUACCGUAAGAAUAAGCACCGGCUAACUACGUGCCAGCCGCCGCUGUAACAC